rnacentral:rRNA from 1 species
UAGGGAAUCUUCGGCAAUGGACGGAAGUCUGACCGAGCAACGCCGCGUGAGUGAAGAAGGUUUUCGGAUCGUAAAGCUCUGUUGUUAGAGAAGAACGUUGGUAGGAGUGGAAAAUCUACCAAGUGACGGUAACUAACCAGAAAGGGACGGCUAACUACGUGCCAGCAGCCGCGGUAAUACGUAGGUCCCGAGCGUUGUCCGGAUUUAUUGGGCGUAAAGCGAGCGCAGGCGGUUCUUUAAGUCUGAAGUUAAAGGCAGUGGCUUAACCAUUGUACGCUUUGGAAACGGGAGGACUUGAGUGCAGAAGGGGAGAGUGGAAUUCCAUGUGGAGCGGUGAAAUGCGUAGAUAUAUGGAGGAACACCGGUGGCGAAAGCGGCUCUCUGGUCUGUAACUGACGCUGAGGCUCGAAAGCGUGGGGAGCAAACAGG